rnacentral:rRNA from 1 species
UUUGACUGGAGUUGCAGCGUCUUUAGCCGCUAAACCCCCCAAUUUUUAAUGGUUGACCUCGGAUCAGGUAGGAAUACCCGCUGAACUUAAGCAUAUCAA